UAGGGAAUAUUGGUCAAUGGGCGCAAGCCUGAACCAGCCAUGCCGCGUGAGUGAUGAAGGCCUUCGGGUCGUAAAACUCUUUUCUGCGGAAAGAACAUCCGGACGAGGAAAUGCGUCCGGUCUGACGGUACCGCAGGAAUAAGCAACGGCUAACUCCGUGCCAGCAGCCGCGGUAAUACGGAGGUUGCAAGCGUUGUUCGGAAUAACUGGGCGUAAAGGGAGCGCAGGCGGCAAGGUCAGGCUAAAGUGAAAGCCCGGGGCUUAACCUCGGAAGUGCUUUAGAUACUGCCUUGCUCGAGUUCGUGAGAGGAAAGCGGAAUUCCAGGUGUAGCGGUGAAAUGCGUAGAUAUCUGGAGGAACACCGGUGGCGAAAGCGGCUUUCUGGCGCGAUACUGACGCUGAGGCUCGAAAGCAUGGGGAGCGAACG
rnacentral:rRNA from 1 species